rnacentral:rRNA from 1 species
GUGUCAGCAGCCGCGGUAAUACGGAGGUUGCGAGCGUUGUUCGGAAUAACUGGGCGUAAAGGGAGCGCAGGCGGUUCGGCAAGUCUAAAGUGGAAGCCCGGGGCUUAACCUCGGAAGUGCUUUGGAUACUACCGAGCUCGAGUUCGUGAGAGGAAAGCGGAAUUCCAGGUGUAGCGGUGAAAUGCGUAGAUAUCUGGAGGAACACCGGUGGCGAAAGCGGCUUUCUGGCACGAUACUGACGCUGAGGCUCGAAAGCAUGGGUAGCAAACGGGAUUAGAUACCCGGGUAGUCC